AGCGAACGCUGGCGGCAGGCUUAACACAUGCAAGUCGAACGGUCCUUCGGGAUAGUGGCGGACGGGUGAGUAACACGUGGGAACGUACCCUUAGGUUCGGAACAACACAGGGAAACUUGUGCUAAUACCGGAUAAGCCCUUCGGGGGAAAGAUUUAUCGCCUUUGGAGCGGCCCGCGUCUGAUUAGCUUGUUGGUGAGGUAAUGGCUCACCAAGGCUACGAUCAGUAGCUGGUCUGAGAGGAUGGCCGGCCACACAGGGACUGGGACAAGGCCCAGACUCCUACGGGAGGCAGCAGUGGGGAAUCUUGCGCAAUGGGCGAAAGCCUGACGCAGCCAUGCCGCGUGGAUGAUGAAGGUCUUAGGAUUGUAAAAUCCUUUCACCGGGGACGAUAAUGACGGUACCCGGAGAAGAAGCCCCGGCUAACUUCGUGCCAGCCGCCGCAGUAA
rnacentral:rRNA from 1 species